rnacentral:rRNA from 1 species
AUUGAACGCUGGCGGCAGGCCUAACACAUGCAAGUCGAACGAGUGGCGGACGGGUGAGUAAUACAUCGGAAUCUACCUGAUGGAGGGGGAUAACGACGGGAAACUGUAGCUAAUACCGCAUACGAUCGAAUGAGCCGAUGUCGGAUUAGCUAGUUGGUGGGGUACCGGCGCACCAAGGCGACGAUCCGUAGCUGGUCUGAGAGGAUGACCAGCCACACUGGAACUGAGACACGGUCCAGACUCCUACGGGAGGCAGCAGUGGGGAAGAUUGGACAAUGGGCGCAAGCCUGAUCCAGCCAUACCGCGUGGUUGAAGAAGGCCUUCGGGUUGUAAAGCACUUUUGUUGGGGAAGCGGUACCCAAAGAAUAAGCACCGGCUAACUUCGUGCCAGCAGCCGCGGUAAUUC